UUAAGUGACUAAGCGUACACGGUGGAUGCCUGGGCAGUCAGAGGCGAUGAAGGACGUACUAACUUGCGAUAAGCGCAGAUAAGGCAGUAAGAGCCGUUUGAGUCUGCGAUUUCCGAAUGGGGAAACCCAACUGCAUAAGCAGUUACUGUUAACUGAAUACAUAGGUUAACAGAGCAAACCGGGGGAACUGAAACAUCUAAGUACCCCGAGGAGAAGAAAUCAACCGAGAUUCCGGUAGUAGCGGCGAGCGAACCUGGAUUAGCCCUUAAGCACUCGGUGAAGUAGGUGAACAAGCUGGAAAGCUUGGCGAUACAGGGUGAUAGCCCCGUAACCGACGCUUCAUCGAGCGUGAAAUCGAGUAGGGCGGGACACGUGAUAUCCUGUCUGAAUAUGGGGGGACCAUCCUCCAAGGCUAAAUACUCCUGACUGACCGAUAGUGAACCAGUACCGUGAGGGAAAGGCGAAAAGAACCCCUGUGAGGGGAGUGAAAUAGAACCUGAAACCGUGUACGUACAAGCAGUAGGAGCACCUUCGUGGUGUGACUGCGUACCUUUUGUAUAAUGGGUCAGCGACUUAUAUUCAGUGGCAAGGUUAACCGUAUAGGGGAGCCGUAGCGAAAGCGAGUCUUAACUGGGCGCUCAGUCUCUGGAUAUAGACCCGAAACCGGGUGAUCUAGCCAUGGGCAGGUUGAAGGUUGAGUAACAUCAACUGGAGGACCGAACCGACUAAUGUUGAAAAAUUAGCGGAUGACUUGUGGCUAGGGGUGAAAGGCCAAUCAAACUCGGAGAUAGCUGGUUCUCCCCGAAAGCUAUUUAGGUAGCGCCUCGGACGAAUACUACUGGGGGUAGAGCACUGUUAAGGCUAGGGGGUCAUCCCGACUUACCAACCCUUUGCAAACUCCGAAUACCAGUAAGUACUAUCCGGGAGACACACGGCGGGUGCUAACGUCCGUCGUGGAGAGGGAAACAACCCAGACCGCCAGCUAAGGUCCCAAAGUAUUGCUAAGUGGGAAACGAUGUGGGAAGGCUCAGACAGCUAGGAUGUUGGCUUAGAAGCAGCCAUCAUUUAAAGAAAGCGUAAUAGCUCACUAGUCGAGUCGGCCUGCGCGGAAGAUGUAACGGGGCUAAGCAAUACACCGAAGCUGCGGCAAUGUCUUUUAGACAUUGGGUAGGGGAGCGUUCUGUAAGCCGUUGAAGGUGAAUCGUAAGGUUUGCUGGAGGUAUCAGAAGUGCGAAUGCUGACAUGAGUAACGACAAAGGGGGUGAAAAACCUCCUCGCCGGAAGACCAAGGGUUCCUGUCCAACGUUAAUCGGGGCAGGGUGAGUCGACCCCUAAGGUGAGGCCGAAAGGCGUAAUCGAUGGGAAACGGGUUAAUAUUCCCGUACUUCUGACUAUUGCGAUGGGGGGACGGAGAAGGCUAGGUGGGCCAGGCGACGGUUGUCCUGGUUCAAGUGCGUAGGCUUGAGAGUUAGGUAAAUCCGGCUCUCUCUAAGGCUGAGACACGACGUCGAGCUACUACGGUAGUGAAGUCAUUGAUGCCAUGCUUCCAGGAAAAGCCUCUAAGCUUCAGAUAGUCAGGAAUCGUACCCCAAACCGACACAGGUGGUCGGGUAGAGAAUACCAAGGCGCUUGAGAGAACUCGGGUGAAGGAACUAGGCAAAAUGGUACCGUAACUUCGGGAGAAGGUACGCUCUUGAUGGUGAAGUCCCUCGCGGAUGGAGCUGACGAGAGUCGCAGAUACCAGGUGGCUGCAACUGUUUAUUAAAAACACAGCACUGUGCAAAAUCGCAAGAUGACGUAUACGGUGUGACGCCUGCCCGGUGCCGGAAGGUUAAUUGAUGGGGUUAGCGCAAGCGAAGCUCUUGAUCGAAGCCCCGGUAAACGGCGGCCGUAACUAUAACGGUCCUAAGGUAGCGAAAUUCCUUGUCGGGUAAGUUCCGACCUGCACGAAUGGCGUAAUGAUGGCCACGCUGUCUCCACCCGAGACUCAGUGAAAUUGAAAUCGCUGUGAAGAUGCAGUGUACCCGCGGCUAGACGGAAAGACCCCGUGAACCUUUACUACAGCUUGGCACUGAACAUUGAACCUACAUGUGUAGGAUAGGUGGGAGGCUAUGAAGACGUGACGCCAGUUGCGUUGGAGCCGUCCUUGAAAUACCACCCUUGUAUGUUUGAUGUUCUAACUUAGACCCAUUAUCUGGGUUGAGGACAGUGCCUGGUGGGUAGUUUGACUGGGGCGGUCUCCUCCCAAAGAGUAACGGAGGAGCACGAAGGUGGGCUAAUCACGGUUGGACAUCGUGAGGUUAGUGCAAUGGCAUAAGCCCGCUUAACUGCGAGAAUGACGGUUCGAGCAGGUGCGAAAGCAGGUCAUAGUGAUCCGGUGGUUCUGUAUGGAAGGGCCAUCGCUCAACGGAUAAAAGGUACUCCGGGGAUAACAGGCUGAUACCGCCCAAGAGUUCAUAUCGACGGCGGUGUUUGGCACCUCGAUGUCGGCUCAUCACAUCCUGGGGCUGAAGUCGGUCCCAAGGGUAUGGCUGUUCGCCAUUUAAAGUGGUACGCGAGCUGGGUUUAGAACGUCGUGAGACAGUUCGGUCCCUAUCUGCCGUGGGCGUUGGAAGAUUGAAGGGGGCUGCUCCUAGUACGAGAGGACCGGAGUGGACGAACCUCUGGUGUUCGGGUUGUGUCG
rnacentral:rRNA from 1 species